rnacentral:rRNA from 1 species
UACAGAGGGUGCAAGCGUUAAUCGGAUUUACUGGGCGUAAAGGGCGCGUAGGUGGUUGCGUAAGUGAGAUGUGAAAUCCCCGGGCUUAACCUGGGACGUGCAUCUUAGACUGCGUAACUGGAGUGUAGUAGAGGGUAGUGGAAUUUCCGGUGUAGCGGUGAAAUGCGUAGAUAUCGGAAGGAACACCAGUGGCGAAGGCGGCUACCUGGACUAACACUGACACUGAGGCGCGAGAGCGUGGGGAGCAAACAGG